rnacentral:rRNA from 1 species
UACGGGGGGGGCAAGCGGUUGUUCGGAAUUACUGGGCGUAAAGGGCUCGUAGGUUGCCAACUAAGUCGGACGUGAAAUCCCUCGGCUUAACCGGGGAACUGCGUCCGAUACUGGAUGGCUGGAGUUUGGGAGAGGGAUGCGGAAUUCCAGGUGUAGCGGUGAAAUGCGUAGAUAUCUGGAGGAACACCGGUGGCGAAGGCGGCAGUCCUGGACCAAU